CUCCCCGUCCUGCCUGCCCAGUGUUCAGACUACCUGUUCAUCAGACUAAAGCUGAACAGUAGUCUGCACAUUGGUUAAGCUGGGUUGGGACACACACGC
ensembl:miRNA mir199-3 microRNA mir-199-3